UUCGCAAUGCCCGAAAGGGUGACGAAGCGACGCCGCGUGCGGGAGGAAGGCCUUCGGGUUGUAAACCGCUGUCGGGAGUUAAGAAAUGCAAGGAUGUUAAUAGCGUUCUUGCUUGACUAAGGCUCCGGAGGAAGCCACGGCUAACUCUGUGCCAGCAGCCGCGGUAAUACAGAGGCGGCAAGCGUUGUUCGGAAUUAUUGGGCGUAAAGAGCACGUAGGCGGCUGUGUAAGUCGGUUGUGAAAGCCUUCCGCUCAACGGAAGAACGGCAUCCGAUACUGCAUGGCUUGAGUGUGGGAGGGGAGAGUGGAACUUCUGGUGGAGCGGUGAAAUGCGUAGAUAUCAGAAGGAACACCGGCGGCGAAGGCGACUCUCUGGUCCAUAACUGACGCUGAGUGUGCGAAAGCUAGGGGAGCAAACGGGAUUAGAUACCCCGGUAGUCCUAGCCGUAAACGAUGGGCACUAAGUAGAGGGGUUUUA
rnacentral:rRNA from 3 species